rnacentral:rRNA from 1 species
AUUGAACGCUGGCGGCAGGCCUAACACAUGCAAGUCGAACGAGUGGCGGACGGGUGAGUAAUGUCUGGGAAACUGCCUGAUGGAGGGGGAUAAAUAGUGGAAACGGUAGCUAAUACCGCAUACCAACGGAUGUGCCCAGAUGGGAUUAGCUAGUAGGUGGGGUAACGGCUCACCUAGGCGACGAUCCCUAGCUGGUCGGCGAGGAUGACCAGCGACACUGGAACUGAGACAUGGUCCAUAUCCCUACGGGAGGCAGCAGUGGGGAAUAUUGCACAAUGGGCGCAAGCCUGAUGCAGCAAUGCCGCGUGUAUGAAGAAGGCCUUCGGGUUGUAAAGUACUUUCAGCGGGGAGGCGUUACCCGCAGAAGAAGCACCGGCUAACUCCGUGCCAGCAGCCGCGGUAAUAC